GUUGAAAAGAACUUUGAAGAGAGAGUUCAAGAGUACGUGAAACCGUUCUGGGGUAAACGGGUGGAGUCCUAAAGGUCGAAAGGGGAGAUUCAAGUAUCCAGUCCGACUGCCGAUGGGCGUUGCAGGUAUACUGAGACGGACUCCGCAAGGGGUCUGACUUGGGGCUUGUGCGCCGGUACUCGCGCGGGAGGUGGAGCGCACUUCUCCCCGAGUAGGACGCCGCGACCCGCUGGGUGUCGGCCUAAGGCCCGGGUACGAGCCCGUCCUGCGGUUCGCCGCGGGGCGGAGCCCUGGUGUCCCGGCCGACUGCCCGGCGGUAUAACAAUGGAAAUGGCCCGCGUGUCUUGUACUCGCGUGCGUACCCUGCGCAAGCGUUUUGAGGGAGCCUGCCGUGCGGACUUGUGCCGCCGCAGACCCGCUGGCGCUGUUGGCGCGGGGCUUCUCGCUCAGUGGCCUGCUCCUGUUUGCGGCGCUCAAAACUGGGCGACCCACCCGGCCCGUCUUGAAACACGGACCAAGGAGUCUAACAUGUGCGCAAGUCACUGGGUCUAACGAAACCCAAGGGCGUAUUGAACGAAAAGGUCGACCUCGCGUCGGCUUAGGGAAGAUGGAGGCCCCUAGUGGGCUUCCCGCAUUCCCGGGGCGUCUCGUCCUACUUCCGCUUGUCGGUCGAAGGUGAGGCGCACCAAGAGCGCACACGUUGGGACCCGAAAGAUGGUGAACUAUGCCUGGCCAGGACGAAGUCAGGGGAAACCCUGAUGGAGGUCCGUAGCGGUUCUGACGUGCAAAUCGAUCGUCGGAGCUGGGUAUAGGGGCGAAAGACUAAUCG
rnacentral:rRNA from 1 species